rnacentral:rRNA from 1 species
UCGAGAAUCUUGGGCAAUGCGCGAAAGCGUGACCCAGCAAUGCCGCGUGUAUGAUGAAGGCCCUCGGGUCGUAAAAUACUGUCUCCCGUGACGAAAUCUGACGGUAGCGGGGAAGGAAGCCACAGCUAACUACGUGCCAGCAGCCGCGGUAAUAAUCACU